rnacentral:snoRNA from 1 species
GAGCAAUGAUGAACCUUCGUUUUGCCUGACUGUUCAAAUCAUGAAGGUUUCUACACUUGAACUGAGCUCA